rnacentral:rRNA from 1 species
UACGAAGGGGGCUAGCGUUGCUCGGAAUUACUGGGCGUAAAGGGCGCGUAGGCGGCCUGCUAAGUCGAACGUGAAAUCCCUGGGCUCAACCCAGGAACUGCGUCCGAUACUGGUUGGCUUGAAUCCGGGAGAGGGAUGUGGAAUUCCAGGUGUAGCGGUGAAAUGCGUAGAUAUCUGGAGGAACACCAGUAGCGAAGGCGGCUCGCUGGGCCAUUCCUGACGCUGAGACGCGAAAGCUAGGGGAGCGAACAGG